CGUGGAUAAUCUGCCCUCAGAUGAAGAAUAAUCCCGGGAAACUGGGGCUAAUGCUUCAUAGGAGACGGGUGCUGGAAUGCUCUGUCUCUGAAAGGUCCGCCGUCUGAGGAUGAGUCUGCGUCCGAUUAGGUUGUUGUUGGGGUAACGGCCCACCAAGCCUUUGAUCGGUACGGGUUGUGGGAGCAAGAGCCCGGAGAUGGAUUCUGAGACAUGAAUCCAGGCCCUACGGGGCGCAGCAGGCGCGAAAACUUUACAAUGCGAGCAAUUGUGAUAAGGAAACCCUGAGUGCCUGUUAUCCAGGCUGUUCUG
rnacentral:rRNA from 1 species